rnacentral:misc_RNA from 1 species
UUGAAUAAACUUGAACAGGCUGUUGCUGGGCCCCUAGGGGCAAAUGUGCACGCUUGUCAUUGUUACUUUAUCCAAACUGUGCACACAUUGUAGAUCUGAAAAAUUGGUGACUGCUGUGCUCAAAGCCAGCUUUUUUUGCCUUCAGGUCUAUGUUGGCUUUCACAAACCUUGAAAUCAUGUUUUUUUUUAAAAAAAAAAAGUUUGAAAUAUA